CUCUUAAUAGUACAAAAAGACAAAGUGUAUCACUCCAUAUGACAUCAUCUGUCAUUGGUCAGAAAAAUACUUAAUUAUUAAACUUUUAACUUAAAUGUAUUAUUUUCAAUCAUUUACAACAAAUAACACAUAGAGUGGCACAUUUUUUUUCCAUAGUAGAAUAUGUACUACACGACUAAAAUGUCUUGCCUAAGUAAUGGAGUACAUUUGUUGUUUCACAUUUUUAUGUCAUUUCAUGUAUCAUCAAUUUUAAUUGAUAAAAUAUUUAAUAAUUGAACUUUUAACUUAAAUAUUUUUUCAACCAAUCAGAACUGAGGACACAUGAAAUGAUACUGAGAAAACAUAUAUGGCCCCUAUAAAUAAAUAAAUACUUUAUUUUGUUUGAUUUUAGGCAAAAUGUGAACCAUGGUAAGUAGUUCCUCUUGACAAUGGUGAAGGUGGUAAUCAAAGCACUGUGGAGAUUGAAGUUGAGUAAGAGUUACCAUAUGCUUUUCCAAUUACAACAUUUGAUUGGUACACCAUUUAUAACAAGGAUCAUAUCUACUAUUUCACUUUUUGUACCAUUACAUGUAAUAUUACUUCUAAUUGGUUGAAAAAAUUAUUGAAGUUAAAAUUACAAUUUUUAAAUAUUUUUCUGACCAAUCAUAUAUCUUAAUACAUUGAGUGAUAUAAAGGAGAUGUGGACUCUUACAACAAACAUAAUAACAAUUGGAUUUCUCAAUUAAAUAUGAGAAAUGAUCAAGAAAAAAUGAACAAAAGUGAAUGAAAAAUAAAUCAACACACGAUUAUGAUCAACACUAUAGGUCAACCCCAUAAAUUGUUUCAACAUUAUUGAAAAUAUAUUAAGAAAAAAAAUCUUAAUCCAAAUGAAAUCAAUUUUAUAAAUAAUUAAACUUACAAGCAGCAUAUUGGUUCCAUUGCCUUAUUGUGCGUGAGCUGCAAACGAAUAGUUGAAACACCACUACAUUGUCUACCAGAUGCAUAUAGGAAGAACUUGUCUUGAUAAUAAAACGUAGUUCAUAAA
rnacentral:lncRNA from 1 species